AGCUUGCUCUUGAUGACGAGUGGCGCACGGGUGAGUAACGCGUAUGCAAUCUACCUAUAACUGAGGAAUAGCCCAGAGAAAUUUGGAUUAAUACCUCAUAGUAUUAUUAUUUGGCAUCAUUUAAUAAUUAAAACUCCGGUGGUUAUAGAUGAGCAUGCGUUCUAUUAGCUAGUUGGUGAGGUAAGAGCUCACCAAGGCUACGAUAGAUAGGGGGCCUGAAAGGGUGAUCCCCCACACUGGUACUGAGACACGGACCAGACUCCUACGGGAGGCAGCAGUGAGGAAUAUUGCACAAUGGAGGAAACUCUGAUGCAGCCAUGCCGCGUGCAGGAUGAGGGCCCUAUGGGUUGUAAACUGCUUUUUUACAAGAAGAAACCUUGGUACGUGUACCAACUUGACGGUAUUGUAAGAAUAAGCACCGGCUAACUCCGUGCCAGCAGCCGCGGUAAUACGGAGGGUGCAAGCGUUAUCCGGAUUUAUUAGGUUUAAAGGGUUCGCAGGCGGAAUUUUAAGUCA
rnacentral:rRNA from 1 species